CAAUCAAUCGACGAAACGCCAUUUGGUUUUUCCUAAAGAAGAACAAGCCAAUGUCGAGGCGUUACUAUUUUUAAAGACAAAGUCUGGUGUAUAUAAACAGCAUGGCAGAGAGCAUACACGUAUUACUGAUAUUAGGUUUAAAGUUUAAUUAUCUAUUUUAUAGAAGUUGUCAGUAUGGGUGACACUAACGCUACAGAAAUAGCUCGUGGAGUUGUGAUGGUCGUGUUCUUUCCAUUCACACUUUUGUACUUUCUGUUUAAGUACGUAACAGACGACAACACUGACACAUACCCGAGGGAAGGUCCGCAGGAUAGAAGAUUUUAAAACUCUGAUAUUCUAAUUCUAAAUGAAAAAAGUUUUGCCAAUAAUAAGGAAUCUGUAUCAAAUUUGUAUUUCGUACGUUUCUAAUUGCAUUUGACUAUUACAAUAAACCUUACUCAGUAAACGGGUGAAAUAAAUAAACAGCAAGAAACUAAACAUAAUUAUGUGUAAAUAUAUGUGCACGAAGGCAGUGUAAAAGCUCAUAAAAGAUCCAAAAUCGGGGGAUGGUGCUAGUCUGAAUUCAAAGAGAAAAUACCAUGCUAGGACCAGACACAAACAAUUAAAAAGUUGUCACAGAUAAAGCGACCUUUAGAGAUGACAGGAAAAGCACAACGAUACAAUUAUCAAAUUUAUAACAGACUUUAUUAUCACCAAUCAGUACCAUAAAAUGUUACUUUAUUGUGUCGAUAUAUUUUUACAAAGGGUUUUAUAUAACAAUUUUGGAUGACAUUUAACUUGAAAUUAAUAAGCAUGACAGUCAUCAAAAAGUGUUUCAUAUUUGCGAAAAUAUAAUACAUCCAAACUGACAUUUUACCGUAGUAAAAUUAUACUCUAUACAUGUU
rnacentral:lncRNA from 1 species